rnacentral:lncRNA from 1 species
UUUUAUGUUAGUUUUUGGUCAUCAUUUGGGACUAUCUCAAGCCACUUGAACCUUUUAUGAUGUAGUUUGUUCCUUUGGUGUUUGCCUAUUCACAUCUCGGGGUGGGUUUGAAGCCAAUAAAUUUUUAGCCGAUUCAAAAAAUGUCCAAAAAAAAUGAGAACUUGAUUUUUAGAAACAAAAAAAAUAUAACUGCUCUUGUAGUAAAUUGUAAUCGAUUAUUAACUUCUUGGAACAUAAGGUUGCAGAACUGUUUUCGACACGUUUUACGUUUGAGGAAUUUGUAGCAUUCUUGCUUAUUUGUUUUGGUGUGUUCAGGUAUUGUUUUCAAGUUUUUAACUUCUUAGCUUCUAUGUUUCAUACAUGUUUAACCUAAUAUUUUACUUUAGCUUCCUAAAGAAAUGAAAAUUCUAUUUUGAUUUUGCUUUAGCA